rnacentral:rRNA from 1 species
GUCCACGCCCUAAACGAUGUCAACUGGGUGUUGGGGGAGCGAUUCCUCAGUACCGUAGCUAACGCGUGAAGUUGACCGCCUGGGGAGUACGGCCGCAAGGUUAAAACUCAAAGGAAUUGACGGGGACCCGCACAAGCGGUGGAUGAUGUGGAUUAAUUCGAUGCAACGCGAACAACCUUACCUACCCUUGACAUGUCCGGAAGCCUGCUGAAAGGUGGGUGUGCCCGAAAGGGAAUCGGAACACAGGUGCUGCAUGGCUGUCGU